rnacentral:lncRNA from 1 species
UUAAGACUAGAGAAGAUCCUAAUAGCGUUCAUAUCCACAAACUUGUCGAUGUUAGGGAACAAUACCAAUCCAUAGAUGAGAAGUACAAAUAUGGCUUCAAAGGCAUCCUCACUCAUGGCCUUCCCAUGGAUAGUAGCUUGAGCAAUGAGGAACUCAGAAGGGAGGCCUUGAAUUCCACCUUUGGUAGUCAUAUGAGCACCAACCAG